GGCAAGAUGGCCGAGCGGUCUAAGGCGCCACGUUAAGGUCUACCUUGAUAACAUUCUCCUCUCUCCUCCCCAAUGGAGAGAAAGAAUUCCGUGGUCCGAAAGGGCGUGGGUUCGAAUCCCACUCUUGUCA